UACGGAGGGUGCAAGCGUUAUCCGGAUUCACUGGGUUUAAAGGGUGCGUAGGAGGGCAGGUAAGUCAGUGGUGAAAUCUCCAAGCUUAACUUGGAAACUGCCGUUGAUACUAUCUGUCUUGAAUAUUGUGGAGGUGAGCGGAAUAUGUCAUGUAGCGGUGAAAUGCUUAGAUAUGACAUAGAACACCAAUUGCGAAGGCAGCUAACUACACAAUCAUUGACUCUGAGGCACGAAAGCGUGGGGAUCAAACAGG
rnacentral:rRNA from 1 species